CGGGCAGUCCGGCGGAACGAUUUCACCCCGCGGUCGCAUUUCUUUUUUACCGCGGGACGUAUAACACUAUCCUGUACGCAACAAACGUGUCCAUAAAAUAUUUGAUGUCCGUGAACUGCACGCGUUUUUACUACACGAUAAUAUCGUGUUUAUCGCACGGGCCCGCGUUAUCGUCGUUAGAUCGCGGUAUGCGAGUGGGAAUAUCGUGUUUUUGUUCGAUAGAUAAAAAUAUGCCGUCGUGACGCGACGUUUAUUGACGAUUCCGUCUGUUAUCGCACAGACGUCGUUCGGUUGAAAUAUGUUUGUAAUACACGAACGUUGUCUGAUUAGAAGAAGAAAAAAAUAACGAUCGACGAACGUGCCUACUAAAACUAAAACGAAACGUAGUCGAAUUUUCUAAUUACGUUUAGACGUAACAGGUACUUUAUACUUUUCAUCAAUAAUAGCACAACAUAAUUAAUAUAACAAAUAAUUUGUAUUAAGUCCGAAUAUAUUAGUGUCGAAUAUAAAAUACGUUUUCGACGUGUACUUUUUUCUAUUUAAAUUGUACGUGAAAUGUUUGUUUUUUUUUACCGUAUUUGCAAUUAUAGUCUUAUUUUUUUCAAUCGACGAUUGUUAUAUCGAGCAAUGUUCGGUAAUACGGCAGGCGCCGGGUGAUUUCGGAUAGUUUUGAAAACUGCCGGCUCCCUUAUAAGGUAGUAUUAUUGUUAUACAUGUAUUUAUAUAUUUAAUAUUGCGUAUUACGUGAAUUGAGAAUUAUCGCUCCUGCGAAUUUCAAAGGCGGCGGCGCGUUUCGAUUUAAUAUAUAGAUAAAUUCACGU